CCUAUACGAAAUGUUAAGCUUAAAUCUUUCCAAAACAUGCUUAGCAGGAUAAAUUCUCUUAAGUAUUUUGUAAGACACUUCAGCGGCUCUGAACGUUGUAUGUCCAGUGAUGGAGCUGAAGAGGUCAUCCUCAAGACAACAUUCGAUUGGUCCUUCGAAACGCCAUACGUCAUCUCUGCCCCCCACCGCGGAAGCGCGCACGCUCUGGAAUGUUAUUUAUGGCAGGCGCGCUCCCGCGGACUGCACCGUUAUUAUCCGACGAGCGCCCGACACCGAAACUACAAUGUCAAGCAUUAACGGGACCCCGAGCUCUUCCACGUUCAAGGAUCCGUCCUGAUCUCUUAAUAUACGCGCAAAGUCUACGAACAAUCAGAUGAUAUUUCUGGAAACAAAAGAUUGAGAUGAUGCAUCAUCUUUCAGACAAGGUGGAAGUGUGAGUGAGUCAGGAGAGAUGGAGGUGAUUAGAAGAAAAGGCUCCGACUCAAACGGCCUCUUCUCAGACCACCCGAACAAUGACUGUGAGGACAUGGGGGCUUGUGGGCAGACGACUGGAGUGUGUUUGUGUGAAAAUACCCCCUUUACCACCUUCUGUGAUCAGCACCCACAGGAGGACUCCAGUGUGAAGUGUGUUCGGUGCGGUAAGAACAGACCCAUGAUCACCAGAUACUCAGAGGGUUACGGCACAGAGGAAGAGUGUGUCCAGCCUCAUCUUCAGGGAGACAGCGACGCAGACGCAGACAUCGAGGACACGGACAGCAGGCUCCAGAUCGUGGGUCCCCUUCAGCGAAUCAGCUCCCGGAAGAGAAAGCGCCAGCGAAUCACACGGCAGGACACAACGGAGAGUGAAGACGAUGGUGGGCGGAGCCACAGGACGCACCGCUGGAGUCUACGGCUCAGUCCUCAUCGCACACAUAACAGAACCAUACUGGAGGAGAGCAUUUCUCAGGUGCGGCCGCUGGUAAUCUGCCGCUGUGCAGCACGAGAGACUCAGACCAUCACAGAUGACAAACCCGACGGUGGAAAAUGGCCCCUGACAGUGUUUCCUGUCCCUCUUUCUCUCCCUGUGUCCUGUUAUCUGCUCAUUGUCCCUCUCUCCGUAUGCAUUAUCAUUGUUCUCGUGUCAUUCCUCCUACCGCUCACAGAUACUUGACAUUGCCUUAAACAUCACUGCAUGACCCUCUUCACCAUAUGAAUCAAUUCAUUAGACCCUUUUAUACAGUGUCAUCUACAGAAGCCUAUUUUUUCCACAUGAGUAAAAAUGCUUUGGUAAAUCAUUAUGACAUAAAAAGUCCAAAUUUUGAAGCAUUAUGUCAUAAGGGGAUAAAAAAAGACAUAAUUGUGACAUACGGUACCAAGUCACAAUGUAUGUAUGUAUAUAUAUAUAUAUAUAUAUACAUAUAUACACACACACAUACAUACAUACUAAUUGUGACUAAGUCAUAGUUUUGAGAUAAAAGGUAACAUUUUGAACACUCAAUUAUGAGAUAAAAUAAUGACACAAAUCAUGACAGUCAUUAUGAGAUAAAAAGUCUAAACUAUAAUACUGUCACAUUUAUGAGAUUAAAGUCAAAGAAAUUGAAAUGCUAUUAUGUCUAUAAAGUCUAUUAUGAGAUAGAAAGCAAAAUGUGGAACACUAAGUCAUAAUUGAGAUAAAUAUUUCAAAUAAUUACACACACACACACACAAAACAAUGACAUACUAGGUCAUUAUGAGAUAAGUCAAAAUUAUGAGAUAAAGUCAUUAUUUCCUUCAAAAUUAUGGCUUAGUAUGGCAUUAUUUAAACUUUUUAUGUCACAAUUAUGACAUUAUUUUAUGUGGUGUAAAUGGGCUCCUGUAGCUGUUGGACACCAAAGACAUUCAGUUUAUUGACAAAAAAAGCACAUUUGGAUGCACAACGUGACCGGGGGUGUAAAAUUACAGUGAUACUGUACUUAAGUGAGGGAAUACGAUGUCAAAAAGAUGUUUCCACAUUUAACCGUAUUUAAACAAAGUAUAUAUAGAUAUAGAUAGAUAAAUAUAGAUAUAGAUAUAUAUUAACUAAGGCAUCUCUUCGCAAGGACAAAUGACUGCAAUUGUGUUCAAUUACAUUUCACAUUGAAAUGGAUGUCAUUGAUUGUUCAUAAAAAAGCACGAGAGCUCAAUUUGAUUGGCUUAACAGCUUAGUAAGAUAAAAACACUAUAGGCUUAUAUUUUGUACAAUAGGAAAUAUUUAAAUAAUAAUGCACUUGUUUCUUUGAAAUGUGGAGCAGUUUCUCCCUUUGAGAUAAGUAACUGAGUAAAAGUUUCAGUUUCAAAAUCUCUCAAUCAAAGACCAUAUUCCCAAAUGAAUACUUAAGUAUAUUAAUGACGUGUAAUGAGGUACUUUAACACCCCUGCAUGUGCUACUUGAAAGAUCUUUGUUGUAUGAUUAAUCAGAUUUCAACAUAAAUGCGUUUCUUUUUGCAGUUUUUACAGUUGACAUGAAAUGCAUUCACAGUCUGUUUUACUUCUUAGAGCAGGACUUGAUUUUAUUCAUCAGAGUUUGAUGUGAUGGUGUAAAGUGGGUGUUCAGUGAGUCUGAAGAGGUUUUUUUGACCUGGAACAUGGAAGGUCAUGUUCACCCUCAUCUGCUAUUAUUGCCAAAACCUUUAGUACAUUAACAAGCAUUGAAUGACUUCACAAAGACUUUAGAAAGCAGCUGAAUAUCUAUCUGACAGCCUUGAUGUCAAGUGUAAAAGAAAGUCAUUUCAGAGACGAAGAAAAUUAAAUGAAAGAUAAAAAGCGUGGACAAUAAGAUGAGGAAAGAGGCUUUUAUGUUGACUUGAACAUCAGUAAAAGCAGCUCAGAUCCACAUCAUCAUGAAGUGAAUCGCUCCUCAUGUCUGUUGAACCUCUGCACCGUCUCUCAGUGUCAUCAGAAAUAGAGCUGUUAUCUAAUUCUUCAUGCUGUGUGUGUGUGUGUGUGUGUGUGUGUGUGGGAGAGAAGCACAUCGGGGCCAAAGGCCCACUGCCACAUGUGGGCUGAAUCUAUGCAAGCAUCAAUCUUUUUACAAACUCUUUUUGGUGUAAAUAAGCUCGUAAGCGUUUCUGUUCCUCUUGCUUUUGCCGUCUUUCAUCUGUUCCUGACUCUUCAUCGUGUCGCUCAUGGAUUUGUUCCUCUGUGGAAAGGGCUGUUGUUUGUCUCACACUGGCGCACUGUUAAGGCGUCUGCAGUAUUUCACAGACAGUGACUCAUUUGACUCAUUGUCUCCAGACGCAAUAUUCACUGACAGAAGCACAAGCGUGAGUCAGGUCAGACGAGUUCAGACAAACGUUUCCCAUAACCCCUCAUCACUCGUUCAUAAGCCCAUGUUUAUCAGCUGCAUGUUUAGAAGUGUUUUUAAACGCAGCAACAAUCAGCUAACAUUCUGCAUCUGUCCCUCAUUCCAGCUUAUUUUAGAUUUGACAUUUAUUCAUAUUUGCUUAAUGCUUAUUUUCCUUUUUAUUUGAUGUAUUUUCCCUGUGAAAAUGGUAUUGUAAAAUGAGUCUGUCUAGAUUUUAAGAGAAUUAAAAUUAUAGUUUGACACAAAGUCUAAGUGUCUCAUUUUUCUCUUAAAAACUAAAUGAUUUAAUAAAAUCACACAGUUUACAUGUCA
ensembl:lncRNA